GAUGAACGCUAGCUACAGGCUUAACACAUGCAAGUCGAGGGGAAACGAUAGAGAAAGCUUGCUUUUUCUAGGCGUCGACCGGCGCACGGGUGAGUAACGCGUAUCCAACCUGCCCACCACUUGGGGAUAACCUUGCGAAAGUAAGACUAAUACCCAAUGACGUCUCUAGAAGACAUCUGAAAGGGAUUAAAGAUUUAUCGGUGAUGGAUGGGGAUGCGUCUGAUUAGCUUGUUGGCGGGGUAACGGCCCACCAAGGCAACGAUCAGUAGGGGUUCUGAGAGGAAGGUCCCCCACAUUGGAACUGAGACACGGUCCAAACUCCUACGGGAGGCAGCAGUGAGGAAUAUUGGUCAAUGGGCGAGAGCCUGAACCAGCCAAGUAGCGUGCAGGAUGACGGCCCUAUGGGUUGUAAACUGCUUUAUAAGGGAAUAAAGUGAGCCUCGUGAGGCUUUUUGCAUGUACCCUAUGAAUAAGGACCGGCUAAUUCCGUG
rnacentral:rRNA from 1 species